GAUGAAGAACGCAGCGAAAUUCGAUAAGUAAUGUGAAUUGCAGAAUUCAGUGAAUCAUCGAAUCUUUGAACGCACAUUGCGCCCGCCAGUAUUCUGGCGGGCAUGCCUGUCUGAGCGUCAUUUCAACCCUCAUGCCCCUAGGGCGUGGUGUUGGGGAUCGGCCAAAGCCCGCGAGGGACGGCCGGCCCCUAAAUCUAGUGGCGGACCCGUCGUGGCCUCCUCUGCGAAGUAGUGAUAUUCCGCAUCGGAGAGCGAUGAGCCCCUGCCGUUAAACCCCCAACUUUCCAAGGUUGACCUCAGAUCAGGUAGGAAUACCCGCUGAACUUAAGCAUAUCAAUAAGCGGAGGA
rnacentral:misc_RNA from 1 species